GGUGAGAAAACACAGGAAAGUCACACUACGCGUAAUUGAGGUUGAUAAAAAAAACAUUAACAAAAUGACUAAAAUUGCGAUUGCUUAUAUUGGAUUCCUUCUCCUUGCCGUUCAGUUUUCAUCACGCGUCCAAGCGCAAAACGCUACCACACAGUCCACUGCCAUGACUGCUCCGAUCAAAGCUGGCGACGUGAGUUCUAAUAUGUCCAAGAUGCCCAAUGUCACUACCAAGAACAUCACCAUUCCCAAAGGAGCCAGUGCGUUCUUGCAGUCCAGCCCCGUCACGCUCCUCAUCCACGUUGCGGUGGUGGGUUCGCUCGUACAGGGCCGUUUCUAGAGUACUCAUGUGCACUCAACACACAGCCAGGAUUAACAUCGGCGGCCUAGCUGGGCAAACUGUUUCACAAACCAACUUUAAACAUUUCUUUGAGGACCGUCAUGUACGCAAAUUGGGAAGUACCGGACGAGAACACCUUAAUACUUCACGCAUGGGAAUUCAUGUUUGCGCUCAAACCAGUAGGCCUACCCAUUCCGUGGACACUGGCCCCAAGCACAUAUGGCCUAACGUGUGGUCCACUCUGGAGGCAGGCUGAGGAUGUACGAAACUCCUUACUUGUUUGGUUCCUGUGUACAGACGACAGGGGUCGUUAGUGAUUGUUUUGCAGUUUAUGCAGUGUACAUUUUUGUUGUGCUAGGGGACAAUGUUGGUUGCUUACGCAUCCAUUUAUCUGACCUGUUGCAUGUGUCCAUACAGUGGUAUUUCUAUUCCUGCAACUGUAAAGGAUACUUUGUCAUAGGGUUGAUGUACACUUGUGAUUUUAGUGUAGUAUAAUGAUUAUUGUAAAAACAUGAUAUAACUGUUGCAGCCUAAUAUAUGAUCAUAGAUUGUUCAAUAAAGUUUUGACAUGUA